GUGGGGAAUAUUGCACAAUGGGGGAAACCCUGAUGCAGCGACGCCGCGUGAGUGAAGAAGUAUUUCGGUAUGUAAAGCUCUAUCAGCAGGGAAGAAAUUGACGGUACCUGACUAAGAAGCCCCGGCUAACUACGUGCCAGCAGCCGCGGUAAUACGUAGGGGGCAAGCGUUAUCCGGAUUUACUGGGUGUAAAGGGAGCGUAGACGGCAUGGCAAGUCAGAUGUGAAAACCCGGGGCUUAACCCCGGGAUUGCAUUUGAAACUGUCAGGCUGGAGUGCGGGAGAGGUAAGUGGAAUUCCUAGUGUAGCGGUGAAAUGCGUAGAUAUUCGGAGGAACACCAGUGGCGAAGGCGGCUCACUGGCUCGAUACUGACGCUGAGGUGCGAAAGCGUGGGGAGCAAACAGGAUUAGAUACCCCUGUAGUCC
rnacentral:rRNA from 1 species